rnacentral:rRNA from 1 species
UACAGAGGCCCCAAGCGUUACCCGGAAUCACUGGGCGUAAAGGGUGCGUAGGUGGCGUUGUUAGUCCUCUUUCAAAUCUUCCGAGCUCAACUCGGGAGCCCCGAGGGGAAACGGCAACGCUCGAGGAUGUACGAGGUACGUGGAACUCACGGUGUAGGGGUGAAAUCCGUUGAUAUCGUGGGGAACACCGAAUGCGAAGGCAGCGUACUGGGACAUUCCUGACACUGAGGCACGAAAGCGUGGGUAGCGAAAAGG